AGUCGGUGAUGAUUUCAUGUGUAAGAGUAGUGGACAGAAGUGAUUUCUGAACAAUUUCACACUGAGACU
ensembl:snoRNA